rnacentral:rRNA from 1 species
AUGAACGCUGGCGGCGUGCCUAAUACAUGCAAGUCGAGCGAACAGACGAGGAGCUUGCUCCUCUGACGUUAGCGGCGGACGGGUGAGUAACACGUGGAUAACCUACCUAUAAGACUGGGAUAACUUCGGGAAACCGGAGCUAAUACCGGAUAAUAUAUUGAACCGCAUGGUUCAAUAGUGAAAGACGGUUUUGCUGUCACUUAUAGAUGGAUCCGCGCCGCAUUAGCUAGUUGGUAAGGUAACGGCUUACCAAGGCAACGAUGCGUAGCCGACCUGAGAGGGUGAUCGGCCACACUGGAACUGAGACACGGUCCGGACUCCUACGGGAGGCAGCAGUAGGGAAUCUUCCGCAGUGGGCGAAAGCCUGACGGAGCAACGCCGCGUGAGUGAUGAAGGUCUUCGGAUCGUAAAACUCUGUUAUUAGGGAAGAACAAAUGUGUAAGUAACUAUGCACGUCUUGACGGUACCUAAUCAGAAAGCCACGGCUAACUACGU